rnacentral:rRNA from 1 species
CCCGCAGUACCCUGACUGUGCUAAGGUAGCAUAAUCAGUUGGCUUUUAAAUGGAGUCGGGAAUGAAUGGAUUAAUGGGGUUAAGCUGUCUCUUUUAUACUACAUUGAAUUUACUUAUCAGGUGAAAAUGCCUGAGGAAAGAAAAAAGACGAGAAGACCCUAGGAGUUUUUACUAAUGUCUUUUUUAGACUACGUUUUUGUUGGGGCGACAUGAGAGUAAUUAAAACCUCUUUUUAUAAAUUUGCCGACUUAGUAUGAAAAUUUAAACUACCCUAGGGAUAACAGCGUAAUUCUUUUUGAGUUUGCGACCUCGAUGUUGGACUAGGAAUUUAAGGGGCUAGCCGCCUCUUGACAUUGUUCUGUUCGAACUUAACUUCCUACGUGAUCUGAGUUCAGACCGG